rnacentral:rRNA from 1 species
CCUACGGGUGGCUGCAGUGAGGAAUAUUGGUCAAUGGACGAGAGUCUGAACCAGCCAAGUAGCGUGAAGGAUGACUGCCCUAUGGGUUGUAAACUUCUUUUAUAUGGGAAUAAAACAGGGUAUGCAUACCCUCUUGUAUGUACCAUAUGAAUAAGGAUCGGCUAACUCCGUGCCAGCAGCCGCGGUAAUACGGAGGAUCCGAGCGUUAUCCGGAUUUAUUGGGUUUAAAGGGAGCGUAGGUGGAUUGUUAAGUCAGUUGUGAAAGUUUGCGGCUCAACCGUAAAAUUGCAGUUGAAACUGGCAGUCUUGAGUACAGUAGAGGUGGGCGGAAUUCGUGGUGUAGCGGUGAAAUGCUUAGAUAUGACGAAGAACCCCGAUUGCGAAGGCAGCUUGCUGCAGCGGAACUGACGCUGAUGCUCGAAAGCGCGGGUAUCGAACAGGAUUAGAUACCCGGGUAGUC